AUGGCUCGUGGUGCCAAGAAGCAUCUGAAGCGGGUAGCAGCUCCAAAGCAUUGGAUGCUGGAUAAAUUGACCGGUGUGUUUGCUCCUCGUCCGUCCACCAGUCCCCACAAGUUGAGAGAGUGUCUUCCCCUCAUCAUUUUCCUAAGGAACAGACUUAAGAAGAUUUGCAUGCAGCGGUUCAUUAAGAUCGAUGGCACGGUCCGAACUGAUAUAACAUACCCUGCUGGGUUCAUGGAUGUCAUCAGCAUUGACAAGACAGGAGAGAAUUUCCAUCUGAUCCGUGACACCAAAGGUUGCUUUGCUGUACACCUGAGGAGACCAAGUACAAGUUGUGCAAAGUGAGAAAAAUCUUUGUGGGCACAAAAGGAAUCCCUCAUCUGGUGACUCAUGAUGCUCGCACCAUCCGCUACCCUGACCCCUCAUCAAGGUGAAUGACACCAUUCAGAUUGAUUUGGAGACUGGCAAGAUGACCGAUUUCAUCACGUUCGACACUGGCAAGCCAUAUAUGGUGACUGGAGGUGCUCACCUGGGAAGAGUUGGUGUGAUCCCCAACAGAGAGAGGUACCCGGGAUCUUCUGACGUGGUUCAUGUGAAAGACACCAGUGGCAACAGCUUUGGCACUCAAGUUUCCAACAUUUUCACUAUUGGCAAGGGCAACAAACGAUGGAUUUCUCUUCCCCGAGGAAAGGGUAUCCGCCUCACCAUUGCUGAAGAGAGAGACAAGAGACUGGCGGCCAAACAGAGCAGCGGGUGA
rnacentral:lncRNA from 1 species